rnacentral:rRNA from 1 species
GAUGAACGCUAGCGGCAGGCCUAACACAUGCAAGUCGAGGGAGAAGCCCUUUCGGGGGCCGAAACCGGCGCACGGGUGCGUAACGCGUAUGCAACCUACCUUUCACAGGGGGAUAGCCCGAAGAAAUUUGGAUUAAUACCCCAUAAUAUUAUUGGAUGGCAUCAUUUGAUAAUUAAAACUGCGGUGGUGAAAGAUGGGCAUGCGUCCUAUUAGCUAGUUGGAGUGGUAACGGCACCCCAAGGCUACGAUAGGUAGGGGUCCUGAGAGGGAGAUCCCCCACACUGGUACUGAGACAGGGACCAGACUCCUACGGGAGGCAGCAGUGAGGAAUAUUGGUCAAUGGUCGGAAGACUGAACCAGCCAUGCCGCGUGCAGGAAGAAUGCCUUAUGGGUUGUAAACUGCUUUUAUAUGGGAAGAAUAAGGCGUACGUGUACGUUGAUGACGGUACCAUAUGAAUAAGCAUCGGCUAGCUCCGUG